rnacentral:lncRNA from 1 species
AGAAAUUGAGAGGGCAAGGUGUGUUUUGUGUACAUGCAGAGUCCGAGCACAUGGGAGCAGAGGGCUGAGGCAUGAGUCUAUCUCAUGGCGGAAUCCUCCCUCAAGGAGCUCGGAGAAAAUAAAUGAAGUGAUACAGCUCAGGUUUUCCCAGGUCCUCCAAUUAAGUGAGGCCCUUUCCCAGAGUGCUUUUUUCCACUCAGCAGAGGACACUUCUCAUAUCCAUGGUCUUCUUUCUGUGUGGGAUGAGGCCAAGGCCCUGGGCUAUGCUUGUCCAAAACCCUAACAAGGUCACACUUCUUGGGUGGCUCCUUGGAGCCCCUUACAGGUUCUAUCUAGCAUGAAUUUUCACAUAUCCUCGAAGGGAUGGGUCUUUCCCCAGUAUGUGUCCUCACGUGUGCACUGGGACUAGGAAGAAUGACAGGCUUUCCCACGCUUGCUGCACGGACACCUGCUGCACAGACGGGCCUUUCCUCCCUAUGUAAUCUUAUGUUUCUGGAAAUAUUGAAGGGACCGAAGGCUUUGUCACACAGCUCACACAUCUGAGGCUUCUCUCUGCUAUGCAUCCUGAUGUGCUCUUAAAGGGAAGACUGAGAAGUGAGGGCUUUCCCACAUUGCUGGCAUCUGUAGGGUUUCUCUCUGAUGUGUGUCCUCAUGUGGAUGUUGAGGGAUGCUGAGAAGCUGAAGGCCCUACAGCACUGUGCACGUGCGUGGGGCUUCACCCCACCAUGCAUCUUCAGGUGUGUCUGGAAGUAGGCUUGGGAGUGGAAGGUUUUCCCACACUGCUCACAUAGUAAAGACUGGUUCCCAAAUGUGUCAUCAUCCAGUGUACCCUCGGGGACACAGAGUACCAGAAGGCUCUGCUCCACUCAGGACACAUGUGUGGUUGUCUCGGGAAGAUGAGUGACAGCCAAAGGCUCUCCCACACACUUUACACUCGUGCGUCCUCAUGUGUCCUUUAAGACAGAAGUAGAAGCUAAAGGCUCUCCAACGUUGAAUGAGUCACAUGCAUGACUUUGCUCUGUGACCUCUUGUGUGUCCCUUCAAGGAGGAGAAACAGGAAAAAGCGUCCACAUUUCAGGAUUUUUGUCCUACUAGGACUCUGCACAUUUUUCUAAGAUGCUUUCCCGGUGUCUUCAGACUUGCAAGUGCCCUCCUCAACACCAGUCUCCACCAAGGGCAUUAGCACAUCAGGCUCACUCUCCCACAGUCCUCACAAGGAUAUAAUUUGUGUUUUGUGAGGGGCAUUUUCUGGUUCUCAGAGAUUUGCCUAGGCUCUGUGCCAUCACUGGCUCCACCUACAGGACACAGUAGGACCCUUGGCCUGGCCAAAGCCAUCUUCUUCACAGUCUGUCCAUAAAAGAACUGCCAUUCAAAGCAGAAAGAACAGUGAAGGAGUCAUCAGAGAUUACAAAUAGCUUAAAUUCAAUGUUCAGAAUUUUGUUUAAGACAAUGUCUUGUGCUGGGCAGCGGUGGCACAGUCACUUGGGAUUAAAGGCGUGUGCCACCACUGCCCUGCAAAAGGUUUCUGAGGAGAAAAAAAAUGUUACUAUGUAGUUUGCCAGUGUUGAAAGCCUGCCUGAGGCUAAGGGGAAAAUUUUUGGAUUAAUUGAAUUGGCAAAGGAAAUCUCAAAGCAACCUGGUAUAGACUCUGUGCUGUGCUCCACUCUUAUGAAGAGUGUUUUAAUGAAAAGAAGCAAGCUGACCAAGGAAAAAUACAAAAUGCAUGGUUCAAGGAGAAAAGGAGCGUGGAGUGGAGUUAAAGCCUGGGAGAAAAACAGACUAAAGAUAUUAAAUAGAAUAAAGGGAGUGAUGACCUCAGGCGAGAUCCCACCUAGCAAGGCUUUCAUCUUGUGAAAAGGAAUUGAAGAAGAGCUUGGGUCCAGGCACUUUUAAUCCUAGCUUUCCGGAGAUAAAGACAUGCAAGUGUCUGAGUCCAAGGCCAGCCUGGUCUACAGAGCAAGAUCCAGGACAGCCGAGCUUAAGCAGCAAAGGAAACCUUGGAAAAUAGAAAGCUAGUGAAGAUGUGAUUGAACACGGGACUUCUUCCACCUAUGGACCUGAAUUUAGGUCAUCACUUUGGCCGCAAACACUGUAAUCCACUGGGCCCCAUUGCAGUCUCACUUAUUUACUUAUUUGUAUGUAACAUCUGCAGAUGUCCCUUAAAACUUUCAACACCUGUGCAUCUGCGUUCCAGGUACAGUGUUGAGGCGCAUGGUUCCCAUGGAAAUAGCACCGCGUCUCACCCCUCCCGUAGCCCUGCGGGGACCGGCACGUGUUGUCCUGCACCGAAGUUAAUGCUUCCAUGUACUCUAACCCAAGGUCAUGCUCUCCCGCAGUCACACAAAUCUUUAGCCCUUCCCUGCCCUUGACCCGAGGAUUGUUUUUGGCUCUGGGCACGUUGAGCGAAUGAGGAAUUAUUUUGGGUCAAGAACGACAGCGACGAAGACCAAGGCGGCAGAGAAACAUAUUUACGUUUCUGGUUAUCCUACGGUCGAGUUU